ACCCCUGUAGCCCAACAGGAAGAGGCGCUAGACUUAGAAUCUAGAUGUUGCUGGUGCCUCCUGGGGAGGAACUGCGUUUUCGAUUCCAGUCAGGGGUA
rnacentral:tRNA from 1 species